ACAAAGGGCAGCAAGUUCGCAAGGACAAGCAAAUCCCAUAAACCGUGGCUCAGUUCAGAUCGUAGGCUGCAACUCGCCUACGUGAAGGAGGAAUCGCUAGUAAUCGCAGGUCAGCAUACUGCGGUGAAUACGUUCCCGGGCCUUGUACACACCGCCCGUCACACCAUGGAAGUUGGCCACGCCCGAAGCCGUUACUCCAACCCUUGUGGAGGAGGACGUCGAAGGUGGGGCUGAUGACUGGGGUGAAGUCGUAACAAGGUAUCCGUACCGGAAGGUGCGGAUGGAUCACCUCCUAAC
rnacentral:rRNA from 1 species